rnacentral:tRNA from 1 species
GUGGACAUGUCGAAGUGGUUGUCGAGCAUGACUAGAAAUCAUGUGGGUUUUUCUUGUGCAGGUUCGAAUCCUGCCGUUCACG